GAUGAACGCUCGCUACAGGCUUAACACAUGCAAGUCGAGGGGAAACGACAUCGAAAGCUUGCUUUUGAUGGGCGUCGACCGGCGCACGGGUGAGUAACGCGUAUCCAACCUGCCCAUCACUUGGGAAUAACCUUGCGAAAGUAAGACUAAUACCCAAUGAUAUCCCACGAAGGCAUCGGAAUGGGAUUAAAGAUUUAUCGGUGAUGGAUGGGGAUGCGUCUGAUUAGCUUGUUGGCGGGGUAACGGCCCACCAAGGCAACGAUCAGUAGGGGUUCUGAGAGGAAGGUCCCCUACAUUGGAACUGAGACACGGUCCAAACUCCUACGGGAGGCAGCAGUGAGGAAUAUUGGUCAAUGGGCGAGAGCCUGAACCAGCCAAGUAGCGUGCAGGAUGACGGCCCUAUGGGUUGUAAACUGCUUUUAUAAGGGAAUAAAGUGGGUCUCGUGAGACUUUUUGCAUGUACCUUAUGAAUAAGGACCGGCUAAUUCCGUG
rnacentral:rRNA from 1 species